rnacentral:tRNA from 1 species
GCGCCCGUAGCUCAGUGGAUAGAGCGGUGGACUUCGAAUCCAAAGGGCGGGGGUUCAAAUCCCUCCGGGCGCG